UACGAAGGGGGCUAGCGUUGCUCGGAAUUAUUGGGCGUAAAGCGCACGUAGGCGGUUCGUUAUGUCAGAUGUGAAAGCCCUUGGCUCAACUGAGGAAGUGCAUCUGAAACUGGCGAGCUAGAGUAUGUAAGAGGGUCGCGGAAUUCCCGGUGUAGAGGUGAAAUUCGUAGAUAUCGGGAGGAACACCGGUGGCGAAGGCGGCGACCUGGGACAAUACUGACGCUGAGGUGCGAAAGCGUGGGGAGCAAACAGG
rnacentral:rRNA from 1 species